rnacentral:rRNA from 1 species
GUGAGGAAUUUUCCGCAAUGGGCGAAAGCCUGACGGAGCAAUGCCGCGUGAAGGAUGAAGGCCUAUGGGUUGUAAACUUCUUUUCUCAGAAAAGAAUUAUGACGGUAUCUGAGGAAUAAGCAUCGGCUAACUCUGUGCCAGCAGCCGCGGUAAGACAGAGGAUGCAAGCGUUAUCCGGAAUGAUUGGGCGUAAAGCGUCUGUAGGUUGUUUAAAAAGUAUUCUGUCAAAGAUUAGGGCUUAACCCUAGAUAGGCAGAAUAAACUUUUAAGCUAGAGUUUGGUAGAGGCAGAGGGAAUUCCCGGUGGAGCGGUGAAAUGCGUAGAUAACGGGAGGAACACCAAAGGCGAAGGCACUCUGCUGGGCCAAUACUAACACUGAGAGACGAAAGCGAGGGGAGCAAAUGGGAUUAGAAACCCUGGUAGUCC